CUGACAUUUGUAAGGCUGGGAGACCAGAGUGCACAGGGUGCUGCGGCCUCACGCCGUCGCCCCCCCCCCCAAGGCUCCUGGGGCCGCUCUGAAGAAAGCUGGUUGAUUUCCAGUCGGUGCAGGUGCCCGUGACUCCAAGGGCAGCCUCUGGGUUUCACUCACCUCCUUCUGCAUCCUUCACCUUACCCCAGUGUUGUGACAGCACUCUAGGUGGGAUCUGAAUGCUCCCUGGCCCUUGCAGAAGCUUUCUCGCCCUGGUGGGCUCCAGCCAAAGUGUCCUGUAACACAGGACCCUCAGACAGCCGUUAGAGAGACAGCCAGCACGCCUAUGCGUUUGAGACUCAGCCUUUCAACGCACACGCCGAAGUGGAAGCUGCCAGCCUCUGCAUUUUACUGCGUGGAAAUGUAGUUUGUUCCUUUUUCUAUCUUUUGUGUUGUAGGGCUAAACAAGAAAAAAAAAUAUGAAAUCACUUUAAAAAAUCCACUGGACUGUUUUGCUUUGUUCACUGCAGAAGGUCACAAAGGGUUCAGGACAACAGGAUGGGGAUGCUCAUGUGCUUCUCCUGUGAGCAGCAGGGCCAGCUCCCGCUCAAAGGAAGGCUUUAUCUGGAAGCUGGUGACUCUGAUAAAAAUGAGAUGGCAGGAGGCUGGGAGGAGGAGGGAGAGCGUGAUUUAAACGUUUUCACGAAACAUUCAGCGCUGGCUGUAAUUUCACCUGCUCUCCCCCUCUUACCGCUCCCCAUUUCAGAGCAGGAGGGAGGGCAUGCAUGCACACACACCUGGCUGGGUGUGGGGCCACUUUUCCUGUGACUACAAUGAUCUGCCCUGAGAAAUACUUAGGCCAUCUUUAUUAGUGGACCAUCUCUUCUAAAACUAUGACCCAAACACAGGUGUUCCAGAAUCUAAAAGACUGACUUGGUCUCUGAAAAACCAGUCUGUGAUUUAGUAUUUCCGUACGUGAAAGCUCAGCUUAUGGUAUUGUUCCCAAAGCCCAACAUAUUUGUUGACGUGACAGCAAACACAGACAGGUGCCCAAAGUUAAUGUUUCCUCUAUUUCUCUACUCCGUAAGCUCCGUGAUUCACUGCCUUCAAGUGAGAUACUGCAUUUGCUGGUCUGUUAAGUAUACUGAGACUCUUCCAGAACACAGCAAGUCGCCACCCACAGUCAACAGUGGGGGAGCAGUAGUGAGGCUAGUUUAGUUAUCUCCGAAUGUCUAAAGAGAGACUAUUAGUAUGUAGCAGUGCAUGGAAAACACUCAUGAGCCUCUGCAUUGUUAUUAGUUGUUACUUUAUAGUGGGAAAUGACAAAAUAAAGGUAGCUGCCAGUUUUUGAAUGU